rnacentral:rRNA from 1 species
UACAGAGGUCCCGAGCGUUGUUCGGAUUCAUUGGGCGUAAAGGGUGCGUAGGCGGUGGGGUAAGUUGGAUGUGAAAUCUUGGGGCUUAACUCCGAAACUGCAUUCGAUACUGCCGUGCUUGAGGACUGGAGAGGAGACUGGAAUUUACGGUGUAGCGGUGAAAUGCGUAGAUAUCGUAAGGAAGACCAGUGGCGAAGGCGGGUCUCUGGACAGUUCCUGACGCUGAGGCACGAAGGUCAGGGGAGCAAACGGG